rnacentral:rRNA from 1 species
CCUACGGGAGGCAGCAGUGAGGAAUAUUGGUCAAUGGGCGCGAGCCUGAACCAGCCAUGCCGCGUGCAGGAAGACGGCCCUAUGGGUUGUAAACUUCUUUUGUACGGGAGUAAACGCAGAUACGCGUAUCUGUCUGAAAGUAUCGUACGAAUAAGGAUCGGCUAACUCCGUGCCAGCAGCCGCGGUAAUACGGAGGAUUCAAGCGUUAUCCGGAUUUAUUGGGUUUAAAGGGUGCGUAGGCGGUCUGAUAAGUUAGAGGUGAAAUUCCGAGGCUCAACUUCGGAAUUGCCUUUGAUACUGUUCGGCUAGAGAGUAGUUGCGGUAGGCGGAAUGUAUGGUGUAGCGGUGAAAUGCUUAGAGAUCACACAGAACACCGAUUGCGAAGGCAGCUUACCAAGCUACUUCUGACGUUGAGGCACGAAAGCGUGGGGAGCAAACAGGAUUAGAUACCCUAGUAGUC